rnacentral:rRNA from 1 species
GACGAACGCUGGCGGCGUGCUUAACACAUGCAAGUCACGGGGGUCCCGGGGGCAACCUUGGGAUAACCGGCGAACGGGUGCGUAACACGUGAACAACCUGCCCUCGUGUGGGGGAUAGCCGGGCUAACGCCCGGGUAAUACCGCAUACGUUCCUUUGGGGGAGUCCCCGAGGGAGGAAAGCUCCGGCGCACGGGGAGGGGUUCGCGGCCUAUCAGCUAGUUGGUGCGGUAACGGCGCACCAAGGCGACGACGGGUAGCUGGUCUGAGAGGAUGGCCAGCCACAUUGGGACUGAGAGACGGCCCAGACUCCUACGGGAGGCAGCAGUGGGGAAUCUUGCGCAAUGGCCGAAAGGCUGACGCAGCGACGCCGCGUGGGGGAUGAAGCAUUUCGGUGUGUAAACCCUGUUGCCCGGGACGAAUCCACCUUUUCGAGGGUGUUGACGGUACCGGGUGAGGAAG